ensembl:snRNA U6 U6 spliceosomal RNA
GUGCUCACUUCAGCAAUACAUUGACUAAAUUUAGGACAAUGCAGAGAUUAGCAUGCAUGGUCCCUGAGCAAGGAUGACAUGCAAAUUUAUGAAGUGCUUCAUGUUUUU